UAUUCUUGCAAGAGAACAGAGCUCCUGAUCACCUGUGUGCGUCCUUUGAGUGGAUGGCAGCUGCAUCUCUGCAUUACAGCUAGUUAGAAUGAUGAGUCCUUGCUAUGCCUCAAGCACUGUUUCGAGUGUUUGAUGUCUAUUAUCUCACUUCAUCCUCACCAGGACCCCAUCCGAGCCUUAAUUUCAGUUGACAGUAACUAUUGGAUCCCCAGGAAUAUGUUUGCAUAUUUGGGGAGAAAAUACUAUUGGAGGGGAACAGAAAUGCUACUAAGGGUCUCACUGUGUCACCCAGGCUGGAGUCCAUCAAAGCUCACUGCAGCCUUAACCUUCUGUGCUCAAGGGAUCCUCCCACUUAAGCCUCCUGAGUAGCUGGAACUACAGGCAUAUGCCACCGAGCCUGGCUAAUCUUUGAUUUUUUUGUACAGAUUGUGUCUCCUUAUGUUGCUCAGGCUGGACUCAAACUUCUGGUCUCAAGCGAUCUUUCCAUCUUAGCUUCCCAAAUUGUUGGAAUUAUGGACAUGAGCCAGUGUGCUUGGCCUGAUUUUUUUUUUUUUUUAAUGAGAAAAACGUUCCUUAAGAAAAGUUUCAUUGUAAGACGAGGACUUGCUAUGUUGCCAGUUUGGUCUUGAACUCUUGGUCUCAAGUGAUUCUCCUGCCUUGGGUUCCCAAAGCGUUGGGACGGCAGAUGUCAGCCACCGCGCCUGGCCUUAUUCUUAUAAACUC
rnacentral:lncRNA from 1 species